rnacentral:rRNA from 1 species
CUCCACCGGAAAAAGAAGAGUGGCGAACGGGUGAGUAACACGUGGGUAACCUGCCCAUCAGAAGGGGAUAACACUUGGAAACAGGUGCUAAUACCGUAUAACAAUCAAAACCGCAUGGUUGAUUUGAAAGGCGCUUUCGGGUGUCGCUGAUGGAUGGACCCGCGGUGCAUUAGCUAGUUGGUGAGGUAACGGCUCACCAAGGCCACGAUGCAUAGCCGACCUGAGAGGGUGAUCGGCCACAUUGGGACUGAGACACGGCCCAAACUCCUACGGGAGGCAGCAGUAGGGAAUCUUCGGCAAUGGACGAAAUCUGACCGAGCAACGCCGCGUGAGUGAAGAAGGUUUUCG